GUUUGUUUGGAGUUAUAAAGAAUUUGACCUGCCCCCUGAUUAAUAAUUAAAGGGCCGCAGUAUUAUAACUGUGCAAAGGUAGCAUAAUCAUUAGGUUUUUAAUUGGAAUCUUGCAUGAAUGGUCGGACAAGAGAAAGACUCUCUUUAUAUUAAAUUUUGAAUUUAACUUUUAAGUGAAAAGGCUUAAAUAUUCUAAAGGGACGAUAAGACCCUAUAAAACUUUACAUUGAAAUUAAUUUUGAUUGAAUUUGUAAAAUAAGAAUUUUAUUUGAUUAUUUGUUAUGUUGGGGAGAUAUAAGUAAAAUAAUAUUUUAACUGCUUAAUAAUUAUACAAUUAUUAGUGAGUAAUAGAAGAUCCUUUUU
rnacentral:rRNA from 1 species